rnacentral:sRNA from 1 species
UUUUCACAGUAUCCAAGU